GCCUGGCCCCACAGCCCGAUGUGCACAUGGGGAUCCAAGGGGCUCCUGAUGGCACAUGUGAAACACAACCUUAAAAUAUCACACACACUAAGACGAUGCAAGCACCAACUAACGUCCGUUGAGUGUAUGAAAACAGGGGAAAAGAGACAUGUAGCUUGUGCUAUCCACCGUCCGGCUUGCAGGACAUUUUAUUUGGAUAAAUUGCAGAGGCACAAACAACUCGAGUGUCUUUGCGACCACACGCUCCGCCUCUCAGUCAAUCCAGACAAAUUCUACGACUUGUGCUGAAGCUUUUAAGCUGUAAUUGAGCACAGGAUACCCAGGAAAACCAAAGCCUGCUCUGCACAGACCUGCGUUUUUAUAGCUGCUAUAGUAUUCUGCUGUGCUUUUUUUCCUCUCCGGCCAGACAGACACCACAAAACAGGCCAAGCGUGAUAGGAAGUCGCCACCUACACGGACUCAAAGUCAGCAGCUGAAGACUUUCAACGAGAUGUAAACAUGUCUGUGCACAACUAAGGUGACAGAAAUGUGGGGCCGACAGCGAUGGCGACGACAGAGGGGCCAGGCGGACCACACAGGGGCCAUGCAGGCAAACUGACCAACUCCACGGUCAACGGGAGCACCUCUGACUCACCAGUGGGGACUCACAAUGCUGGAUUAGCCUGUAGAGGGUAUCCUGGGAAACAGGGCGUCAGCAGCAGACGGGCCUGUAUGGACAAAAGGACAUAAAGUGGACUUCAGUGGGGGAAUAAAUGAAAUUAUACAAAGGACAAAAGAUAGAAGGAACAGAAAGACUGAAGGAAAUGUACGUGUAGUCACAGGGUUUCAACUUAUUUUGGAAAAAAGGAACCCACAGUGUGCAGAGAUGGCGACUGUGUCAGAACACCCUCGAUUUAAUUUUGCUAUUGAUAUCUGAACAGAUAUCACAUUCAGAGCAUUACAAACUCAAUUUCCUAUUAAAUACCAGGCGUCAAAUUGCGUGCGCAUGCUAAAAAAUAAAAUAACUGUAAUGAAGAAACUGAUUCAGCUCGCUGAGAAAUAGACCUUGUGUUUUUUAAAGGGUGUUUUUCUCCCUAGGAUGCUUUGAUUAAAAAGAAAAAAGUCUGGAUGUUUGAUUUUACGCAUCUCUGCUGCAUUUGACUUUAGAUGUGAUCUCCCACAGCAAUAUCAAAUUAAAUGUGUAACAGUCGCAGAUGCUGACGUGCCAUUUGCACAAUAUUGAAAUCAAUACGCGACGCUUGUAGUUUAUUUUUGAUGCUGAAUUUUGAAAUUUAUAAGGACAUAGCGUAUCAAAUGUGGAGAAGCAGGUCGUUUUUUUGUAAAUGUGAAAUUCUCGGUGACACAUAGAAUAUAGUUUGCGCCAAAUAGAGCAUUUAGAUCAUAUAUAUUUAAGUCAAGUUUAUUCGAUUAAACGCAAAUGGGAAACUUCGCCGCUCAGUUACGCGCCCCGCUCUUUUAUUUCUACCUUAUGAAAACCACAAUAUUAUUUCACUUUUGUGUUGCAUCUUUUUUGAUAUACCAGAUCAAAUUAGGAUGAACGGAUCUCACUUCUCGGUACCGCAGUGUCAUUCACGGGAAUGAACUGUUCCAAGUUCUUACAAAGGCGGCCAUCAAAUCAUCUUACAAUAACUGUUUCUAUGUAGUGUAGUUAAAACAAAAAUCUGUUUUACUUGGGGAAUUGUGGAUUAAAGUUGUAACUAUCAUAUCAGACUAUUGUCCGGACAGGAUAUGAACAUGAAGCACCUGCAACUGUUCUUAAAACAUUUCCAGAGACGCACAGAUUUCCAGAAUCUGCCAUGACGCUAUUUUUGUAAACAUUUCUCGAUAUGAAAUAAUCAAUAAAACAUGCUUUCUUCUGCAAAUA